GAGCCGCCGAGGAAAGUGAGUCGAGGUCGCGCGCGUUUCUAUUCGCACUUUCAUUGGCCGCUGCACGCUUAGAACUUAGGAACGCGAAACAAGAGGUUAACGGAUCGACGCCGCGGUUUUUUACCGGUUCUCGAUUUAACCCGCGCCGAGAAUCGACCCGGAAACGUUCCAGAAAAUCGAAGUGAGUCGAUUACUCUGAACCGUCGCAGUAAAAUUCAAUUCGCAUGGGAUACAGUAUUUUUUGGAAAUCAGCGGAACAUUUGACGCGUUGAACAAUUCCAAGUCGAACGUUUAUAAUCUUUCGCAACCUUGACAUAACCUAGAAACGCGAGACAAGAGGUUAACGGAUCGCCGACGAUGCCACCUUAUUAACAGCCGGUCGAAUGCUCUCAAUUUGAACGCGUCAAAGUGCCGAUAAUCGAUCGAAAAAAUUCCAAGUAAAUCCAAGCAGCCGCGCUAGGACUGGACGACGGUUGCCAAGCUCGUUUCGAAGUAAAAGUAGGCAUCCGGGUUCAUAGCGAUGCAUCUUUCACUCGUCCGUCGGAACAGUGUCGCCGGCAUCAAGGAUAAGCAGGGGAUUAUUUACGAAUUUUAAGCGAUAAAUCGUCCGGAGUCCCGGAAUCACAAUUUUCAAUCUAGAAAAUGAUUACGGUUGACUCCGUCUGUUAUCUCGUUUAUUUCCGAGCCAAGAAAGUUAAGAAAGAAGCUACGUUGCCUCGUUCGAUGGAUAUAACGUUAACGAUGCUGGAAGACGAGCCGAAGGCACAGUAAUUGGUCGCUCCAGCGGAUUAACAACGGACUAAGUAGCCAAGGCCGCGCAGCGCUCGUUCGCUGCAACAACGAUGGCAAUUGAACAAUCUUCUGCGAAGCCAGUUUUCUCAAUUAAUUAGCAUCGCGAAGCAUUGAACCGGGACAGAAGCGCGUAUCGCGAUAUCGUUCGCGUGCAAUGAAUGUCGAAGUUUCGAAGAUUUUUUUUGAAAAUUCUCUCGCUAUCAGUACCUUGAGACCCGUGAAUCUGCAGUUGCGGCAUAGUUGCGGCAAACGAGCCCGGCGCAUCGUGCACUAAAUACGCGACGAUUCCACGGCGACCGGGGUUAAACAACUUUGCCCUUGGACACUCUGCGCAUGAGGGGAAUGCCGCGUACCCCUUGAACCGAACGAGACUGCGAACGAUCGACAACGAUUUCUAUGAUCGCGACAUGCAACCGUCAUGGAGCAGCCGCCACACACUGGGAACCUCGUGCGAGCCUCGCCGUGAAAGUUGCGGAAACACGCUAUGUUGCCGAAGAGAGGCGAGUCCGAGUCCGGCUAAGUUCGCCAGCCGUGCGACGAGCUAACCCGAGAAAAAUAAUUUAUCGGCUAUCGUUAUCGGUGCAGUUAAAUUUCGCCACAAACAAGGGAACGGGACACGGCCGUUCCGCACGCUCCGCUUCUGCAACGGCGGCGCAUACUACACGCGAACGAAAGAAACUGAUGUCGAUCGAACAUCUUUGGAGAAAGAUCCAUGAAUAAAUGAACAAAAAUUGUUUAUUUAAAAAAAUAAACGACCAGAACAGUUCUUUUUGCAACGAGGUUCUGGAGCAUGAAAAACUGCGCAAUUUAUCACUGGCAAGUUUUGUCGUAUCUGUUAGCAUUACAGAGAAAAAAAAGAAUAGAAGAAAAAGAACCGGAAAAAAAGAACAGAAAAAAAAGUACAGAAAAAAAUGAACAGAAAGUGCGAAAACUUUGGGGGUUGAUUUCACCCUGUUCAAAUGAAAUUUAGCACCGACAAAAAGUGAAGAGGAAGACUAACGAAUAUGAAAGACUAAAGUUCGUUACUUCAAAUUUAUUCUAUCAGAAACUAUGACAUAUGUACAGAAUGCUAACGUAAUAUCGGACGACGAUUUAUGCUAAUGAGAAUUCAACUGAAAAGCAUGGAUAUCCUUAAAAUAACAUUGCGCAAUUCCGUUCGUGAAAGUUAUAUAUGUACAUAGAAACAGCGUUCACGGUGCAGAUAAGUGAGCGCAUCUAUGUCAAAAUUUACGAUUGGGAUAGUGUUUCAGUGGUGUUUAAAUUCAAGGACAUGGCAUUCGACGAGAGUGUGCUCAGGACUUUUUUGCAGCACCGCGUAAAACAGAAUUACACGAGAGGCGAUAGCAGGAUCUUAGGUCUCGAUUGCGAAACCUAACGAUCGGUUUUAAAGUAGGCGUGUAUUCCUGUCGCUUGCCAUAGUCGCGGCAGUGUUUAUUAGGACGCGGCAUUAAAAAAUUCUAAUUAU